rnacentral:rRNA from 1 species
AUGAACGCUAGCGACAGGCCUAACACAUGCAAGUCAGGGGCAGCACAAGGAGCAAUCUGAGGUGGCGACCGGCGCACGGGUGAGUAACACGUAUGCAACCUGCCUGUAAGCGGGGAAUAACCCGUUGAAAGACGGACUAAUACCGCAUAAUACUAAAUUACUGCAUGGUAAUUUAUUUAAACAUUUUAUGGCUUACAGAUGGGCAUGCGCAUGAUUAGCUAGUUGGAGAGGUAACGGCUCCCCAAGGCAACGAUCAUUAGGGGUUCUGAGAGGAAGGUCCCCCACACUGGUACUGAGACACGGACCAGACUCCUACGGGAGGCAGCAGUGAGGAAUAUUGGUCAAUGGACGAGAGUCUGAACCAGCCAAGUCGCGUGCAGGAAGAAUGUCCCUAUGGAUUGUAAACUGCUUUUGCAGGGGAAUAAAGUGCAUCACGUGUGAUGUUUUGUAUGUACUCUGCGAAUAAGGAUCGGCUAACUCCGUGCCAGCCGCCGC